rnacentral:sRNA from 1 species
GACAGACCCCCACCAGUUCUCUAAAAAAAUAAAUCUACUUUGUUUUAUUUUUAUAUAUAAUAAAUAUUUAUUCAAUUUGUUUAAAAAGUCUGAAAUAUUAUGAUCCCUCUUCUACAAUUUUCAUCAAAAAUGGUAAUCAGAUGUUUCUUGUGAGACUAACAUGACUGUAGAAAAUUAGCAAAAUAAUAAAGCUUUUUUUUAAAGCAUAGUGGUUCACACCUAUAAUUCCAGUACUCUGGGAGGCUGAGGCAGGAGAAUCUCUUGGGUUCAGGAGUUUAAGACCAGCCUGGGCAACAUAGCAAGACCCCAUCUCUAAAAAAAAUUUAAAAAAUUAGCAGGGCGUGAUCGUGCACACCUGUGGUCCCAGCUACUUGGGAGGCUGAGGUGGGUGAAUCACUUGAGCCCAAAAGAGUGUGCCACUGCACUCCAGCCUGGGUGACAGAGCAAGACGCUAUCUCAAAGAAAAAAAAAAACUUUUUAAAAAAGUUAAAAAAAACCACUCACCAAAAUUACAAAAAAAGCUAUCAACAGAAAAUUGCUUGUAAUUUUCAACUUUUGAGAGAAACUAUGAGGUAUGUACUAAGAGACAGACUCUAUUAAGAUCAAGGGUGUAUUAACAUUGAGGCUGAGCUUCCCACCUUAUUGUACCAGAGUACCGUGUAUUUCAAAUGUGCUUUUGGUGUAAACUCUGUAAUAAAUAUGCUUUUUAUGCACCAA